rnacentral:rRNA from 1 species
AUUGAACGCUGGCGGCAGGCCUAACACAUGCAAGUCGAACGAGUGGCGGACGGGUGAGUAAUGUCUGGGAAACUGCCUGAUGGAGGGGGAUAACUACUGGAAACGGUAGCUAAUACCGCAUACCAUCGGAUGUGCCCAGAUGGGCUUAGCUAGUAGGUUGGGUAAAGGGUCACCUAGGCGAAGAUCCCUAGCUGGUCUGAGAGGAUGACAAGCCACACUGGAACUGAGACAAGGCGCAGACUCCUACGUGAGGCAGAAGGGGGGAAUAUGGCACAAUGGGCGACAGCCUGAUGCAGCCAUGCCGCGUGUAUGAAGAAGGCCUUCGGGUUGUAAAGUACUUUCAGCGGGGAGGCGUUACCCGCAGAAGAAGCACAGGCUAAAUCCGUGCCAGCCGCCGCGGUAAUUC